AUAGACAUAUCGCAAGCCAAAAUUGCACCCUUUCAAAUUCAAAUCACACUAUUCAAUAUCUGGUUGCCUUUCUCCAUUUUCCAUAUCUUUCUCUCUCUAGCAGAUAACCUUUCCUUCUCUCUCACUCGUUUUCUCUUUUCUCCCUUCAAACCCUAGCACCCCCACUCCUAUCUCCACCCUAUAUACGACCUCUUUCUCCACGCCGCUGAAACUAUUGUGAAAAGGAAGACAGAGCAAACUUGCUGCAAAUACAAAAAAUCAUAGCCAUGCUAAUCUUCGUCUCUGAUUCUAUGGAGUUUUGAUUUCCGAAGAAAGAAGCAAGUAAGCAAUAAAUGUUUUCAAAGGAUUUACAAGUGGUGACCACUAUUUAUGACUUUGUGAUUUUAUCAUUCAUGGCCAGAUGUUCAUACUUUUGAUGUGUAAUCUGAGAUUAGGAUGCUUGAUGCAAAAAGGAAAAAAAUUUACUAUGAUUUUCAAGGUUUUUUCUUUUCAUUGAAGCAUGUGGAAAUAGUUAAUUGGCUUAGAAAGAUGAGGAAUUUUGGAGUUCCAUUGUCUAUAACAACUUACAUUCUAUGUAUAAUUCUUGUCCUACACUUUUGAGGAAGGUUCUGAAGUUAAAUGACUUGUCGUUGUCGAUGGAAGAGUUGUUGAAUGAGUGUGUGGUUAAAGGACAAGCUAUGGAGAUUAAGGAGUUACUUUCGUGAUAUGCGAUUUUUGAAGAGGUAAUGGUUUGGGAUUAUUCUGAGGUAAUGUUGGAUUUGCGUGAAUUUCACUUGGGUUGAGCUGAUUUUGUUGUGUUACUUUGGUUCGAGGAGAUGCAAAAGAGGUUGUUGAAUGCUUUCAACUAUGAAAUUCCUACUAAAAUAAUUGUGAUUUUGGAGGCUGAGCAACAACUUAAUGGUCAAUGGAAGUUAACACGUCUUGGUAAAGAUCCCACUGUAGAUUUCUAGAUGGCUGAUGUAAGACUUUAGAAAAUCAUUUUUUAUCUAUGAGUUUUUGUAUGUGAUGUUUGUACUAAUAAGUCAUUUCCAUUUACUAGAACUUGCCAAAAGAUGUAGCAAUUAAGGUUGACCCUUGGUUCAUUUCAAUUGAUACUGCUCAAAGAUAAGAACAUGCUUUUGCCAAAAAAAAAAAAACACCAGAAACUGGUCUAAACAACAAAAACUAUGGUAGAUGAAAUAUGGACAAAUCAUCCUCCGGCAGAGAUUAAUGUUGUCGUUUUACAACCAUUAAAUUUUGCAGGUCGUUCUGUCACAGAUAAGUUGCAAGAUUUGAGAUUUUUUUUUGGAGAGAAGCAUGCUCAAGGAUUAGUUGUAACAACAUUCGAUAAAGUGGGUGUAUUAUUUUAAUAGUUCGUCCUUUUUGUUUUCUUCCCAUAAAAUUUUGUUUUUAUGAGAUAUAUUUUCUUCCUCAAAUGUACAUUCUUUGGAAGAUUUUUUUUCCAUUUUAUUCAAUGUCACCCAAGGUUGCUUGGCUGUAUAAUAUUCGUGGAAAUGAUGUGGCAUAUUGUCCCUUUGCUCACUCAUCUGCUAUCAUGACAUUCAAUUUCGCAUUCAUUUACGUGGACAAACAAAAGGUGUCUAUUAAGGUAAAAACUCAUCUAGAGGAAAAUGGAAUUGAAAUUAAAGAGUAUACAAAAAUAAGCGUAGACGUGGCAUUGCUUGCGGCUAAUGAGCUUGAUUUCGGGUUUACUCUCAAGAGUGUAAGUGGUAAACAUCAAACAGAAGAAGAAAGUAGCAACAUUAUAUGGGCUGAUCCAGCUUCAUCCUGUUAUGCUCUUUAUUCAAAAUUGAACCCUGAUGCAUACUCAUUUCAACCGUGGAGUCUUCUCAAACCAACCAUGUUUGUUAGAAUAGGAAAUUUCAAUUAUUUCUCAUUUUGCCACAUACAAUUUUGCUUACUGUUAAUUUGAUGUAUACUC